rnacentral:rRNA from 1 species
GAUGAACGCUGGCUACAGGCUUAACACAUGCAAGUCGAGGGGAAACGACGGGGAAGCUUGCUUCCCCGGGCGUCGACCGGCGCACGGGUGAGUAACGCGUAUCCAACCUGCCUCUGACUGAGGGAUAACCCGUCGAAAGUCGGCCUAAUACCUCAUGGCAUCGUCUGCGGGCAUCCAACGACGAUUAAAGAUUUCAUCGGUCAGAGAUGGGGAUGCGUCUGAUUAGCUUGUUGGCGGGGUAACGGCCCACCAAGGCGACGAUCAGUAGGGGUUCUGAGAGGAAGGUCCCCCACAUUGGAACUGAGACACGGUCCAAACUCCUACGGGAGGCAGCAGUGAGGAAUAUUGGUCAAUGGGCGAGAGCCUGAACCAGCCAAGUAGCGUGCAGGAUGACGGCCCUAUGGGUUGUAAACUGCUUUUAUACGGGGAUAAAGUGAGGGACGUGUCCUUCAUUGCAGGUACCGCAUGAAUAAGGACCGGCUAAUUCCGUG